UAUGCAAGUCGAACGGUAACGCGGGGCAACCUGGCGACGAGUGGCGAACGGGUGAGUAACGCAUCGGAACGUGCCUAGUAGUGGGGGAUAGCCCGGCGAAAGCCGGAUUAAUACCGCAUACGACCUACGGGUGAAAGCGGGGGACCGAAAGGCCUCGCGCUAUUGGAGCGGCCGAUGUCAGAUUAGGUAGUUGGUGGGGUAAAGGCCUACCAAGCCUGCGAUCUGUAGCUGGUCUGAGAGGACGACCAGCCACACUGGGACUGAGACACGGCCCAGACUCCUACGGGAGGCAGCAGUGGGGAAUUUUGGACAAUGGGCGCAAGCCUGAUCCAGCCAUGCCGCGUGCGGGAAGAAGGCCUUCGGGUUGUAAACCGCUUUUGUCAGGGAAGAAACGCUUUGGCGUAAUACCCCGAGGUAAUGACGGUACCUGAAGAAUAAGCACCGGCUAACUACGUGCCAGCAGCCGCGGUAAUACGUAGGGUGCAAGCGUUAAUCGGAAUUACUGGGCGUAAAGCGUGCGCAGGCGGUUAUGCAAGACAGAUGUGAAAUCCCCGGGCUUAACCUGGGAACUGCAUUUGUGACUGCAUGGCUAGAGUGCGGCAGAGGGGGAUGGAAUUCCGCGUGUAGCAGUGAAAUGCGUAGAUAUGCGGAGGAACACCGAUGGCGAAGGCAAUCCCCUGGGCCUGCACUGACGCUCAUGCACGAAAGCGUGGGGAGCAAACAGGAUUAGAUACUCUGGUAGUCCACGCCCUAACGAUGUCAACUGGUUGUUGGGAGGGUUCCUUCUCAGUAACGAAGCUAACGCGUGAAGUUGACCGCCUGGGGAGUACGGCCGCAGGUUGAACUCAAAGGAAUUGACGGGGACCGCACAGCGUGGAUGAUGUGUUUAUUCGACGCAACGCGAAAACCUUACCUACCCUUGACAU
rnacentral:rRNA from 1 species